rnacentral:rRNA from 1 species
UACGUAAGGGGCGAGCGUUGUCCGGAAUUAUUGGGCGUAAAGGGUUCGCAGGCGGCCUAUUAAGUCAGAUGUUAAAUCUCAUGGCCUAACCAUGAUAAGCAUUUGAAACUGAAAGGCUUGAGUUAAGGAGAGGAAAGUGGAAUUCCUAGUGUAGCGGUGAAAUGCGUAGAUAUUAGGAGGAAUACCAGUGGCGAAGGCGACUUUCUGGACUUAUACUGACGCUGAGGAACGAAAGCAUGGGUAGCAAACAGG